GCCCCGCCCUCCGCCCUCGCACCCCCACCCCCUCCCCAGCCACUUCCGGCAGGCGCUGCGCUGCUGGGGGGUGCGGGUGAGGAUGGCGGCGGAGAGCGAAGCCAGCCAGGAAAGCGCCCUGGGCGCCUACUCGCCGGUGGACUACAUGAGCAUCACCAGCUUCCCGCGACUUCCCGAGGACGAGCCGGCGCCUGCAGCCCCGCUGAGGAGCCAUAAGGAUGAGGACGCCUUCCUGGGAGAUCCUGAUACCGACCCAGACUCCUUCCUGAAGUCCGCUCGGCUGCAGCGGCUGCCGUCGUCGUCCUCGGAAAUGGGCAGCCAGGAUGGGUCGCCGCUCCGCGAGACGCGCAAAGACCCCUUCUCGGCGGCCGCUGCCGAGUGCUCCUGCCGGCAGGACGGGCUCACAGUCAUCGUCACCGCCUGCCUCACCUUUGCCACAGGUGUCACCGUGGCACUUGUCAUGCAGAUCUACUUUGGGGAUGCCCAGGUGAGGGGGAAUGGCGGGCAGAGGAAAGAAAAAUUAAGGAAGGGACCGUGGGAACUGGAGAAUAGCUGAGUGCGGGAAAAGGGUCAGGAAAUAGGAACAUGUGAGGGUGGUGACUUAGAAGAAGAUCCCAAAGAAAGGACUCUGGGGCAUUCGGGGAACAGAAGAUGGGACUUCAUCCAAGUAGGAAGCAGCGGUGAUAAUGAGGCGAUGGUCUUAGGGGAGAAUCAAGAGGACAAGGAGGUACCUUAGUGAGGCAGAGCCUCCUGCUGUCUCUACCUAGGCCCCUCUCCCCUUUAGAUCUUUCAGCAGGGUGCUGUGGUGACCGAUGCCGCCCGCUGCACUUCUCUGACAUCACAUCAUUUAGAAAGGAGAUGGAACCUAGGAAUGGCUGGAUGAAACAAGUCACCCAAGUACCUGUG
rnacentral:lncRNA from 1 species